rnacentral:rRNA from 1 species
CCUACGGGCGGCAGCAGUGGGGAAUAUUGGACAAUGGGCGAAAGCCUGAUCCAGCCAUGCCGCGUGUGUGAAGAAGGCAUUCGGGUUGUAAAGCACUUUCAGUGGGGAAGAAAGCCUUGGGGCUAAUACCCUCGAGGAAGGACAUCACCCACAGAAGAAGCACCGGCUAACUCCGUGCCAGCAGCCGCGGUAAUACGGAGGGUGCGAGCGUUAAUCGGAAUUACUGGGCGUAAAGCGCGCGUAGGCGGUCUGAUAAGCCGGGUUGUGAAAGCCCCGGGCUCAACCUGGGAACGGCAUCCGGAACUGUCAGGCUAGAGUGCAGGAGAGGAAGGUAGAAUUCCCGGUGUAGCGGUGAAAUGCGUAGAGAUCGGGAGGAAUACCAGUGGCGAAGGCGGCCUUCUGGACUGACACUGACGCUGAGGUGCGAAAGCGUGGGUAGCAAACAGGAUUAGAUACCCUAGUAGUC